rnacentral:rRNA from 1 species
AUUGAACGCUGGCGGCAGGCUUAACACAUGCAAGUCGAGCGGUAGCACAGGGGAGCCUGCUCCCUGGGUGACGAGCGGCGGACGGGUGAGUAAUGUCUGGGAAACUGCCUGAUGGAGGGGGAUAACUACUGGAAACGGUAGCUAAUACCGCAUAACGUCGCAAGACCAAAGAGGGGGACCUUCGGGCCUCUUGCCAUCAGAUGUGCCCAGAUGGGAUUAGCUAGUAGGUGGGGUAAUGGCUCACCUAGGCGACGAUCCCUAGCUGGUCUGAGAGGAUGACCAGCCACACUGGAACUGAGACACGGUCCAGACUCCUACGGGAGGCAGCAGUGGGGAAUAUUGCACAAUGGGCGCAAGCCUGAUGCAGCCAUGCCGCGUGUGUGAAGAAGGCCUUCGGGUUGUAAAGCACUUUCAGCGAGGAGGAAGGUGGUGAGCUUAAUACGUUCAUCAAUUGACGUUACUCGCAGAAGAAGCACCGGCUAACUCCGUG